GACAAGUUCUGACCUUCUCUGCCUUGCCAACAACACUUCCUGUAAGUCUACCCAUUCCAGCACGGCACAGCUUCAAGGCACAACACUAAACAUCGAGGAGAAACAGUUGACGUUCACCAGGUAAUUGUUGGAAUGAACAAUGAUUUAUCAUGGUGGACCAAAGGAGAACACUUACCUUACACUUUCCGGAAGAUUUGAAAACUAACUAUGGAACAAUAGAUUAAUUUCUUCUAUAGCAAAUUAAUAAAAAUACAAAUCCUCAAUAGAAGAUAUUUAGCAUCUGGCCUCAAAGGGUGAUAGAGGCCUUUCAUAGAAAUUAAAGAAACACACAGCACAGAAGCAGAUCCACGUUCAGGUUAAGCAGAGGUUCACUUGCACCUCCUCCAACCUCAUCUACUGUUCAAGAUGUGAUCUCUUAUACAUCGGUGAGACCAAACAUAGACUAGGCAUUCGUUUCGCUGAACACUUUUUCUGAGUCCACCUAGACCUACCUGAUCCCCUGGUUGCUAAACAGUUUAAUUCCCCUUCCCAUUCCCACGCUGACUAUUCUGUUCUAGGCCUCCUCCAUUGUCAGUGUGAGGCCAAAUGCAAAUUGGAGGAACAGCAUCUCAUAUUUCGCUUGGGCAGUGGUAUGGAUAUUGAUUUGUCCAACUUCAAGUAGCCCCUACAUUCCCUCUCUCUCCAUCCCUCCCCCACCCAAGUCGCACCAGCUUCUCGUUCUCACCCAAUUGUUUCCUUCAUUGUUACUUUUUUUGCAUAUCUUUCAUUCAUUUGUUCUAUAUUGCUCUACAACAGCGACUAUAUCUCUCCUUUUCCUUUUCCGUGACUUUCAGUCUGAAGAAGGGUCUCGACCCGAAAUGUCACCCAUUCCUUCUCUCCAGAGAUCCCGCUGAGUUACUCCAGCAUUUUGUGUCUAUCUUUGGUUUAAACCAGCAUCUGCAGUUCCUUCACCCACAUUCUUCAUGCUGACCUAAUGCCUAUCAAUGUUAAACCUAUAUGCCUGCAUUAGGCCCAUAUUCAUCUCAACCUUUCCUGUACCCUUCAUAUGUCUGUUGAAUGCUGCAAUUGUAUCUGCUUUCACCACCUUCUCUUCAGCUUGUUCCAGACUUGCUAAUUCAAGCAUCUCCAUACUCUUCAUAGCAUUGCCACACUCUUCCUGUGGUGUGGUGAUCAGGCUACACAGAGUAUUGUAGAUGUGGCUUAGCCAUGUUGUAUCCAAAACAAAAAGCAAAAACAAAACCGUUAUACAAGGAAAACUGAGCAGGUCAGGCAGCAUAUGUGGAGGGAGAAACGUUCAUCUCUGCUCUGCGACAAGGCCAACAACCUGAAACAUUAACUGACUCUUUCGCCACACAUGCUGCCCGACCUACUGAGUAUUUUCAAAAUGUUCUUUUUUUUCUUGUUUUAUACAAUAAUGGCCCAAUUUCGUUGAAGUGUUAUUUCCCACCUGGGACAAUAAAAAUAGGAUUUUAAAUGCCGUCCCAAUCAUCUUAGUUUUAUCUUUCCUGCCACCUUAAGGGAUCGGCAGUCAUGCACUCCAAGGUCUCCCUGCUACUCGACACUUAGUGUCCUCAUGUCCACAAUUUGCAUUUUUUCAUGUGCAAUCUCUCCCACAAUCUCACCUCUCAUCCACUCAGAAUUACCAAAGGCCAUUCCUAACUUGAUUUCAGCCUUGCCCCCAUUUAACCUCUCGAACCCAUUCAUAAACCUCCCAGUAAUUCUCUACUAUCAAUCUCUCGGCAUGGUGGUGCAGCAGUGGAGUUGUUGUCUUACAGCACCAGAGAACAGGGUUCGAUCCUGACUCCGGGUACUGAUUGUAUGGAGUUUGUACAUUCUCCCCAUGACCUAUGUGGGGGUUCUCCGGGAUCUCCGGUUUUCUGCCACAUUCCAAAGAUGUGCGGGUUUGUAGGCUAAUUGGCAUUGGUAAAAUUGGAAAUGUUCCCUAGAAUGUGUACGAUAUUGUUAGUGUGCGGGCAUCACUGGCCGGCAUGCACUCAGUAGGCCGAAGGACCCGUUUCCAUGUUGUAUCUCUAAACUCAACUCACAAGAGAGGUUUUAUUUUGUCUUCUCAAAAUGAAAUGGAAAUCCAAACACUUGGAAUCUUUAAACUUGAAUCACUGAAUCCCCUCAGCCAGGCCUAACAUUUGGGCUUCAGGUCUGAGAUUGUUUUCUGGGCAAUAAAGUCAAUUUCCGCAAUCUAAUCAAGCCAGGGCUGAUUUACAGGGUUGGGAGGAAGCUCGAUAUGAGCUCAAAAACAAUAUUCAACGUCCUGCUGACUGGAAUGAUUAUCGACCUCUGAACUUUGCUGUCAACACAGUCAUGUGACCUGGCAGGCUAGAGUGGGAAAAGAUAAUGAUAUGAAAUAGUUCUCCGGCCAGACAACGUUUCCUGUCAUAAAAUGCAUUAAACUGGAAAGCAAAGCAAUUUUUUUCCUUACUCUAAUAUCUCCUCCUUGUUACAGGAAUUCCUGUUAUGGAACCCAGCCCUUCAGUGCUACUUGGCACAAGAAAUGCUGCCUGAGUAACUCCAGCAUUUGGUGUCCAUCUUCAGUGGAAACAGGCCGCGAGUCCGCGCCAACCAUCGAUCACCCGUUCACUAGUUCUAUCCUGCACACCAGGGACAAUUUACAGAAGCCAAUUAACCAACACACACGCAUGACUUUGAAAUGUGGAAGGAAACUGGGGCACCCAGAGAAGACCCACGAGGUCAUAGGGAGAACGUUGAAACUCUGUACAGACAGCACCCAUGGUCAGGAUCGAACCUGGGUCUCUGGUGCUGUAAGGCAGCAACUCUACCAUAACGCCACUGUACCACCGCAAGGUGUGGAUGCUGCUCGCAAUUAAUGCCCACCAUUUAUUGUUUCCCCCUGAUUGUCUUGAGUUGAGGAGGUUCUUGAAUUUGGGUCUGUGGUUGUGUGAGAAGGAACUGCAGAUGCUGAUUUAAACCGAAGACAAACACAAAAGUCUGUGGUUUCAUGGGCCAGACAGCAGAAGGACAGCAGAUUUAUUUCCGUGAAAGACAUUUAUGAACUGAAUUGGGUUUAGAGACAAUCUGAUAUUUCAUGUUUAUGGGUGGUAAGAUCAGCUUUUUUGUUGAAAUUCCAGAUUUAUUUGAUGGUUUUAAUUUUUCAUUCCCCGGCUGUAUUGGUAGACUGUGAACUCAUAUCUUUUGAUCAAUGCUCCAGAAUUCUUCCUGUUAGUCUGUAACAUAACCAUUACAUUACUGUGGGUUGUAACAGCUGUCAAAAACCAUUUGGGAAAUGAGGAGCCAAAGCAUUAAUUGAUUUGCUUUAAUUAACUAUUACAAUGAAUUUCCAUUUAAUGGCUUAAUUAUAGUUAGCAAAAAAUUGUCCUAUAACAUUUAAGAAUGUAUAAUUUUUAUGGAUGUUAAUUGUAUUACAUUAUUGUGAAUAGCUUUGGGAAUACUCUGUAAUGACAAUAGCUAAUUGUAGACCCAUAGGGAGAGGAUUCUAAGCGAGUGAAAACUGUUGUAUAACUAAGAGUCCAUAAUGUACUCACCUUAAUAAUGUUAAGACCAUUAAUCUUUGUAGAUAAGAUCAAACAACCUAUUGCACAUUCUCAUUAAUGCCUCCAUCCUGUGUGUUAUAAUUUUCCCUUCUCUUUACUUGCUGUUAGAGUAAGAAAAGCCACUGGUGUGAAUAUUGACAGGUAGCUUUGACAAUAAUGCAUUUAGUCUGCCUGUAUUAUUAAAAUCAGUCCUUCUGCAAAUUGAGGGAUUAGUGUCAGAUUCCA